UACGUAGGGUGCAAGCGUUGUCCGGAAUUAUUGGGCGUAAAGAGCUCGUAGGCGGUCUGUUACGUCGGCUGUGAAAACCUGGGGCUCAACCCCGGGCCUGCAACCGAUACGGGCAGACUAGAGUUCGGCAGGGGAGACUGGAAUUUACGGUGUAGCGGUGAAAUGCGUAGAUAUCGUAAGGAAGACCAGUGGCGAAGGCGGGUCUCUGGACAGAUCCUGACGCUGAGGCACGAAGGUCAGGGGAGCAAACGGG
rnacentral:rRNA from 1 species